rnacentral:lncRNA from 1 species
GGCAAUCACCACCCAACCAAAUUACCGGAGACCCGUGUGCGAACGUGAGAAGCAGAGAAGAGAGGAGGCCGAAUCUACCGAUGCCUCCGAUGAAUGAAGAAACGGGGUCGCGGUCGGAAGCUUCGAGAGGACCACCAGAAUUGAAAAGAGGCAACGCAAAGGGCCAGAAUCCACACAGCCCAGAACCGGAAAGACCCAAUGCACACGGCCGAAAGUCACACUGACAAGGAUGCGAGGAGGACGACGCAAGUCUAGGUGCGAAAAAAAUUCACAGCUCUAAUACCAUAUCAAAGAAACCUCGAAUAAUUUCUGAAAAAUUCUCUGUCCUUUUUGUGGUGCGCUAUUGUACAUAUAUACACAAUCUUAUAAUAUACAAGGAAAUAAAUAAAUCGCAAUCUCCAAAAAUAGUGUAUCUAAUCUAUUCCAAAUAUAACCCAAAUAUAUACGGUAACAU